rnacentral:rRNA from 1 species
AGUGAACGCUGGCGGUAGGCCUAACACAUGCAAGUCGAACGGCAGCACAGUAAGAGCUUGCUCUUACGGGUGGCGAGUGGCGGACGGGUGAGGAAUACAUCGGAAUCUACUUUUUCGUGGGGGAUAACGUAGGGAAACUUACGCUAAUACCGCAUACGACCUACGGGUGAAAGCAGGGGAUCUUCGGACCUUGCGCGAUUGAAUGAGCCGAUGUCGGAUUAGCUAGUUGGCGGGGUAAAGGCCCACCAAGGCGACGAUCCGUAGCUGGUCUGAGAGGAUGAUCAGCCACACUGGAACUGAGACACGGUCCAGACUCCUACGGGAGGCAGCAGUGGGGAAUAUUGGACAAUGGGCGCAAGCCUGAUCCAGCCAUACCGCGUGGGUGAAGAGGGCCUUCGGGUUGUAAAGCCCUCUUGUUGGGAAAGAAAAGCAGCAGGUUAAUACCCCGCUGUUCUGACGGUACCCAAAGAAUAAGCACCGGCUAACUUCGUG